AUGAUCCGGAAUCGAUUGACGGGUGUGUGUGUAGCCACUGCUCGCCAAUACCAGGAUGUGUUGUGCGCACAAUCCGGAACCUGUUUCGAUCCGUCACGUACACAUGGUGUUGUAUUCUCCAGAAAGAUGUUACUUGGGCAUUUCGUCAUAUGUAUCACAACUUGGGUAGUCUGC